CCUACGGGAGGCAGCAGUGAGGAAUAUUGGUCAAUGGACGAGAGUCUGAACCAGCCAAGUAGCGUGAAGGAUGAAUGCCCUAUGGGUUGUAACCUUCUUUUAUAAAGGAAUAAAGCGAGGCACGUGUGCCUUUUUGCAUGUACUUUAUGAAUAAGGAUCGGCUAACUCCGUGCCAGCAGCCGCAGUAAUACGGAGGAUCCGAGCGUUAUCCGGAUUUAUUGGGUUUAAAGGGUGCGUAGGUGGGUUUUUAAGUCAGGUGUGAAAGUUUGCGGCUCAACCGUCAAAUUGCAAUUGAUACUGGCAGUCUUGAGUACAGUUGAGGUAGGCGGAAUGCGUGGUGUAGCGGUGAAAUGCUUAGAUAUCACGCAGAACCCCGUUUGCGAAGGCAGCUUACUAAGCUGUGACUGACAUUGAUGCUCGAAAGUGUGGGUAUCAAACAGGAUUAGAUACCCUAGUAGUC
rnacentral:rRNA from 1 species